CUAACAAGGAUUCCCCUAGUAACGGCGAGUGAAGCGGGAAGAGCUCAAAUUUGUAAUCUGGCGGCUUCGAGUCGUCCGAGUUGUAGUCUGGAGAAGCGUUUUCCGUGCCGGACCGUGUACAAGUCCCUUGGAACGGGGCGUCGUAGAGGGUGAGAAUCCCGUCUCUGACACGGACUGCCGGUGCUCUGUGAUGCGCUCUCGAAGAGUCGAGUUGUUUGGGAAUGCAGCUCAAAAUGGGUGGUAAAUUCCAUCUAAAGCUAAAUACGGGCGAAAGACCGAUAGCGAACAAGUACCGUGAGGGAAAGAUGAAAAGCACUUUGGAAAGAGAGUUAAACAGUACGUGAAAUUGUUGAAAGGGAAACGCUUGAAGUCAGUCGCGUCUUCCGAGACUCAACCGGGUUCCUUACCCGGCGCACUUCUCGGUGUGACGGGCCAGCAUCGAUUUCGACCGUCGGAGAAAGGCUCGGGGAAAGUGGCACCUUCGGGUGUGUUAUAGCCCCGCGUCGUAUGCGACGGUUGGGAUCGAGGACCGCAGCGCGCCCUUCGCCGGGCCGGGGUUCGCCCACGUAACGCGCUUAGGAUGCUGGCGUAAUGGCUUUAA
rnacentral:rRNA from 1 species